GAUCGGAGCACCUCUAGUUUAAAUCAAUGUGUAAAUUGCCAUUUUCGUUGGAACUGUUUGUGAAAUUUACUAACAAUUUCUGAGUAGAAAUGGUUUCUACAUUAGAUUAAUGUAUGUAUUUAUUCUGUGUAGUAAUCAUGUUCGUUCUAGCUCAGCCAGUGUCAUGAGUUUAGGCAUUUAGGAAACCUGUUGAAUCUGUUGUGCCACUGUAAUGUGAAUGUGUGGGAGAUUGAUGAUUUUACCGCGGUAAGAGGAAUCUAAGCUGACAGUUUUCUGGCUUCAGCAGUGAUGUGCAGGCGGCUUGUGCUGUUAGUCUGUAAACAGAUCAAUAUCACACAUCUCAACACAGACGGUCUCAUGUCUGUCCGUUUACUGCAGCUGAGAAAUAUUGAUUAACAGUUUAAUAAAUCAAUGCCUUUAUGGAUUCAUUCCACUGCUGCUUUAUGAAACACAUCCUGUAAGAGCUGUCAGUGACAAUGAUCUGAUUAAAAGGAUAUAGACUCUUAUUCUGCUGAUUUAUGAUGAUUCCUUCAGAUCAGCUGAACGUUUGAUGCUGAGGUGAAGGUCUGCGACUGAUCUGUGACACACGGCGAUCGAUUUCACCGUCUGAGGAGAUUCAGUAAAUCACUUCAGACUGAAUCAGACUCCGAGUGUCUAUGAUCUGGCUGCUGUGUUUGAGGUCUUCAUGAACAUGUUUAUUAAAGUGUGUGAGAGAAAGA